GCGAUUAAUCUUCGUAUCUUCGCGCGAUUGCCGCGCGCAACCGUUCGCGCGCGAUAUCGGCAACAAUGUUAAUUAGUCCACGAGAUAAUUUAUACUGUCGGCGUCCCGUCGCCGCCCAGAAGCGGAGCGGAUUACGCUAUAGGAAAGGACAGAGGAGCGCCCCGGACGCGAACGUAAAUCACGGGCGGAGAUGCAACGUACAGGGAGGAGGACCUUUGGGCUCUCCUCGUCUCGCUCGAGAGCAUCGCCGGUUAAAUAUUGAAUGAAGAUCCCGUCCGCGCGCACGUGUACACGCAUGCACGUGUGUACGUGUGUACAUGUGUACGUACACCGGACACGAUCAGCAUACUGGACAGUCUCGGCCUCCUAGACGGUGUUACCGGUCAACGAAGCAUACCACGGCGAUAGCACCCACUUUAUUACGGCGAACGUAAGUAUGGGCGACGUAUUUAUCGGGCAGUGUUCGCACCGCUUACCUACUCCAGCUAGAACCAUCGCGAAGGCAAAAUUACGAGCCUAAUCUGGACCUGCGAGCGAACGCGAGGAACACACACGACACGGCGUGAAGAUUUCCAUCCGAGUAAUAUGUUGACUACGACAGAGCGACAGAGCUUUGAUAGCCGCUCGAUAAGAUGCAAUUAUUUAUCGGCGGAGAAUGUGCGUUUCGAGUAUCUACGUGUUUGAAAUCACGAUAUAUCGAAAAUGCAAAGAACAUUGCUUUGAUAUCAAAUACGCGAGUAGAUGCGUAUUUCUGCAUUAAUGCGGCGCGAUGAAUAAAUGUUGAUGUGCAUCGUGGAAGAAGUCAGGAUGAUCUGAUAAAUGCGCACUGUACCUAUCGAGGUUGUUGCCACUUUUCCAUAAGCGGUGGAGCAUCAAACUUCCGACACCGUCUGGCUCUUCAGCCGACAAUCGAUAAAAGCUCCAUUAUAAACGUCCGCAAGUAUGGCGCAGAAUUUCAUUCACGAAACAAACGCCGGACAUGUUAUUACGGAAGAAAUGUAGCUGGCGUGAGCUGCAGCGACCGGAGUUAAAGUUCGUUCUAUCUCUGAUUGAUCUAAAUCGAGUGACAGUUUAACGAUGCGUGAAACUAACUUUACUCAGCAAACGUUCUACAUCGACCAGUCUCCUCAACUUUAUCACGAAGAUCAUGUAUUUUAAUUUACUUGCUACAUAUGCAUUUAUUUGAUAAUAUUAUUGUCAUGUACAAUUAACUGUGAUACUAUGCGCCAAAUGUAAUUUUACUUUAAAUAUACAUUUUAUACAUUUUAAGAAGGAGCAGGAGGAAUUUUGGAAUUUUUUACGUGUCAGUCAAUAUGAAGUUAGAAGAAAAUAUUCUGUAAAACUCUUUGCUGCUACUCUUUCAGAAGCGCGGCUUUAAAGGAAACGGGAAAUGUUAUUACACGUGCUACGCGAUUCAACUUAGCAAAUGCGUGGCCAAGGACAAGGUAAACCUUUGAGAUUUACAAAGGCAUCAUCGUUAUUUGAGGGAGAAAGAGUACUUUGCUACGUGGUUGAAGUCUCCGUGGCUGCUGCGCGUCUGAGAGCAUGGGUGGAAACUGUGGGGCGCACGCUAGGGUGGCGAUCGAUGUUAGCCCCACCCCGGUACAAUCUAACAGGAAACGGAAGCAGUGCUCCGAUCCAUUUACACUCUAGAUGGAUAGACGAUGAUGCUUGAAUCUACGAACAGAAACUGCGCUUCACAUACACUAGAUCCACUAACAAUAAUAAUAAUAAUAAUAAUAAUAAUAAUAAUAAUAAUAAUGCAAACAUCAAGCCAUUCUUUCGCGUAUCAACGGGAUUCAAAGAAAAUGAUUGAUCUUUACACAAGAAGUGACAAGCAAAAUAGGCUUCAAAGCUAGUGACAGCGAGAGCGAGGAAUUCACGUUCCCUGAACGAAGCACUGCUAUUUGCGCUCAUAAAUGCGAGUGUGGGCGUAGACCGUAAAAAAUAUGUUGACAGUGCCACUAUGUCGACAGGGCUAGUACGCUGCUCGGUUGUCCCAUGUAUUUACCAUGGCUCAUAAAACCAUCGAAUUAGUCCGGGAAGCUAAAUAAAAAUUAGGUGAGUCUAAGAGUCGCGCGUAGAAAUUCUCUCGCGUCUCUCUCUCUCUCUCUCUUUCUGUCUUUCUCUCGUGAUGCUGAUAUUACCACCUCUAAAAUUGCACCUCUGCAUCGCUCUCACUCUCUCUGUCUCUCUUUUUCUCUCUCUCAAUCAACGUAGGUGUACAUCGCAAUUAUCAGCUGAUCGGUAAUCCUGUUGAAGUGCGUAUUAAAACUCGCUCGAAAACGGAAGUCUUUGUUCGCGAAUCAAUAUGAAACCAUGUUUCCAAAUUCACAGUGUCUGUCGGUUCUUUCACAGCGGGAUUACCCGACGGGACUUAAAUAGCUAACUGUGGACGCGAUUAUUGAUUGCAAACUGCAUCGACCCUCCUUUCACCCUCACCAACAGUGCCGAGCAAUGGACGGUGCCGUUGGCCUACUUUGAACAAAUGCGCACAAACGCGUCAUAGCGGUUUGUAGUUGCGACUGCAAUCCGCCUCACAAUUUACUUGGCCGACGGAAAAAUCCGCUUCGCUUGUGUUGACACAGCGCGCGCGGAAUCGCCGUUGCAGUCAUGUGUAAUAGCUAAUAUCUAUUUUCAUUGAUUUUCACCGCGCGCGCGUAACGCGAGGCCCUAUCGCGAAAUUGUGAUCUGAAAUUUUCACACGCGUAUGGUUAUCCCGUGUCGGCCGACACGGAGCGGACAUAGGCCAAGGCAAGCGAGCCGAUUCCAAUUUGUGGUAGAUCGCGGGCAUACGAUAAGUUUUCCAUUAUCCCGCGGUACUGAGAAUUCGCGCACGGUGAACUGCCGUCGCCCGGGACUGACGUGCUCGACUGCAUCGCGUUUCUCAAGUUUCACGUAAAAGGCCGUCUUCAUCCCGCUUGUCCGAGUGCGCGGCUCGAGUUACCCGGGCUUCGAUCGUCGGACAUCGCCAUUUGAAUACCGAAGCGUCAUUAAACGAGAUAACGAGAGAGAGAGACCUGCCCAUCUCGUCCGUGCGCUCUCGCGUGUGCGUGCGGAACCAACGCGGAAAGCCUUAUUCGCAUCGCGUCGCGUUCUGCUCGAUUUGCACGCGCGCAUAAAUCUCAUUUGGGACGACGAACGCGCAACAACGGCAUAAUGUGAAAUCCGAUUCGUUUCUAUGAUCAUCGGCGCUCGGGUAAAUCGAGCGCAGACGUUCGAACGUGACGACAUCUCGAAAAACGUACGAAAUCUCGUCACGCCUGUCGACUCUUCAAGAUGUUCCUCAGGACAGCGUGGGAAAGAGGCGAGAAGGGCGCAGGGACAUCGGGGCGCGCCUCCGCUCCUGCGACUCACGAGAGAGAGAGGGGAGGGGUGGAGAAAGAGAAAAUGAGACACAGAGAGAGAGAGAGAGAGAGAGAGAGAGAGAGAGAGAAAGAUCUGCCGAGACGCGAGAUCGAUUUAUUGCUCGUUGCAGCACGGCCGGCACUCUCCGGUGAAAUGUCGUCGCGAGCGGAGAGCUGCGCACGCGAAAGACGAGUAAAAAUACCGUUUGCCCAAACGCGGCGAUUAUUUAGCCGACGUGGUGAACUGAACGUCAGAUCGUGAGAUAAGUCUGGCUAUUAUUUUCGAUGCCCUUUCAUUUCUUAAAAGACUCUCUCGCUGUAAUAAUCAGUACAAUGCGCGACCGUACUGAAUAUUAACUGCGCUAAUUAGUCAAGGUUAAAUUGCUCAGCGAGGGAUGAUCAGCGAGGAAGUAACGGAAUAUCACCGAGGACUCCUAGCUUCGCACGUGUUUGGUAGGAAUGCCAGACGAGCUGAAAUUCGAGAGACAAUGGCUGGUAUGUUCCGUACCACUGAGAAUAAAAACGGCGGAAAUGAAACUCUGAAUAUCUGCGCGAAGCACGCACCGCGCGGAUCCUUAAUUUCUCUUAAAGGCAAUUAUCCAUUUCCGACCGUCUCACUCGCCCGGUAACUAAUAGGUCAUCAUUAUAGCGGCACUUGAUGUCUCUAUUAUUCCGAACCGUACGUUUACAUCUAUGUAUGUGCGAAAAAGAGCGACCUGCUACUGAUGUACCGUCACACUGUAAUCGUUCCGCGGGUCAAUAAGUCGCUUUUUAUGCGAACGGUGAUUUGUAAUCGCAGCUCGCUUGUAUUCGUUGCGUCUCAGAAUCUGGUUAAUCGUGCUUUUAACCGACCGGCUCACAUGUGUUUGCUUUCUACCAAGAUUACUAACAUGAUUGAGGAAUGAGAGAAAUCGUCAAUAGUUUUAAUAAAUUCUAAAUUGAAAAAUUUGAAACGUCUACACAUGAAUAAUGCAAUUACAUUAAAAAAUGUCACACAUUUAAUACGAUUUAAGAAAUAAACUACAAUUUUAUAUAUAUCGUUUUUACAAUUUUAGAUUUAACGAAUAAAUAAAAUAAAAUUCUCGGUAGUGCAAUAUUUAUGUAAAAGCUAUAUCUGCAAUACAAAGCUAUAUGUAGAGUAAA